rnacentral:rRNA from 1 species
GGGGGCCCGCAAGCGGUGGAGCAUGUGGUUCAAUUCGACGCAACGCGAAGAACCUUACCUGGGCUCGAACGGCUGGUCAACGGCGGUGGAAACAUCGCUACCCCGCAAGGGGGUCCAGUCGAGGUGCUGCAUGGCUGUCGUCAGCUCGUGUCGUGAGAUGUUGGGUUAAGUCCCGCAACGAGCGCAGCCCUUGUCCUGUGUUGCCAUGCCGAAAGGCGGAACUCGCAGGAGACCGCCAGCGAUAAGCUGGAGGAAGGUGGGGAUGACGUCAAGUCCUCAUGGCCUUUAUGUCCAGGGCUACACACGUGCUACAAUGGGCGGUACAAUGCGCAGCGAACCCGCGAGGGGGAGCCAAUCGCAAAAAACCGCUCUCAGUUCGGAUUGCAGGCUGCAACUCCCCUGCAUGAAGCUGGAAUCGCUAGUAAUGGCAGAUCAGCACGCCGCCGUGAAUACGUUCCCGGGCCUUGUACACACC